UGCAGUAUCACUGGAAAGAUGCAGCCCCAGUGAAGCACAAGUGGAAGUCCCAUAUAGCACAGUGGAAGAUACAACACUCUUCACAUGAUCUUGGACAUAAAGGCGUCAGCUUCUUGCUCAGUGUUGGAUCUCAUGGAGUCAAACACUUUUCUGAGGGACAUUUUCCAUUGAAAACUCCGAUUCAAUAAUGUGAAAAAUUUUCUGCAGAAACAGCACCACUCCUACAUAGGGUUUUCCUUCAGGUUCCUGGGCAGACAAAGGAACAAGCAGAAUAUUGAUUUUGGCAACUUAGCUCUGCUGAAGCUGAAAAAUUCAGGAAUCCAUUCAGAAAGGCUAAAGAACCUCUUCAUGAGCUGAAAUGGAAAUAAAUUGGACUGGUCAGAACAUGAGCAAAGAUCAGAAAUAGGCCUAAGAGCAAAGGAAUGCUCCUGUAACUGCAGAAGAUUCUCAAAGGAAUAAUUCUAAAUGUGAUGUCAGAAGAAUACAAAAUGUACUAAUUGCAAACUUAGUUCUGACCCUGACUACUCAAUAUAACAAGACUUUGAAGGUUUGCAUGGUGGUAAACCUAAUUGCUAAGUUGCAAUGCAAGGUUUUCAUGCUGUGGAAUCUCUUCCAGGGAACAUACAAUUUGUCAAAAUUAAA